AGUUCUCCAGUUGAUAGCAUUAACAACUGGAAUCCUUGUUCUUUGGAUUACAAAUAUUACUGAUGCAGCAAGAUGAAAAAUACGAGGGGAUCUCCUACGUUCCCAUUGAAAAGACAGAUGAGACAACGUGAGUCCCUUAACUUCCUUCAAUGUUGUUUAUCUAUUUGCUUAUCCAUUCAUAUAUUAUAUUUAUCAUUAUAUGAAUCUACACACACACACAUACACAUGCACACACACACACACACACACACAUAUAACUCCUCCAAAAUUGGUAAGAUCAACGUGGUUUGAUGUUUCUCUCAAAGAGCUUGAAACAAGAUGUGUAAUGUGCAUACAUGGUCUACAUUGCAGGAACCCAUCCUGAAUAGAUGCAAUAUUAGUUACAUGCAAAUAUCCUGUUAAUAAUGAGUGGAAAAUGCAUGGAAGAACAGAAGUAAAAUAAACAAAAUCAAAUUUUUACAUGUUUUUCAACUGGUA